UGGAACAAGAAAAGGAGGCAGAACAGCAAAUUAAUAAUUUUAAUUUAACGGACUCUAUCCAUCCACUAAAUCAUUUUACUUCCCCAGGUAUCUAUAUUAUGCCUGAGCAUAUGAAACAGGGGUGAGUAGUUAGAUUUAAAAAGGAUAGUUGGGUCUGAAGUGAGAUUGAUUCCAAAAUAUUUUAUCAUCUCUACUUUCACUGAUAGGC